UACGUAGGGUGCGAGCGUUAAUCGGAAUUACUGGGCGUAAAGCGUGCGUAGUCGGUUAUCUAAGUCAGGUGUGAAAUCCCCGGGCUCAACCUGGGAAUUGCAUUUGAUACUGGAUAGCUAGAGUUCGGCAGAGGGAAGUGGAAUUUCUGGUGUAGCGGUGAAAUGCGUAGAUAUCAGAAGGAACAUCAGUGGCGAAAGCGACUUCCUGGACCAGAACUGACGAUCAGGCACGAAAGCGUGGGGAGCAAACAGG
rnacentral:rRNA from 1 species